CCAGAAGCUAGGAGAGAGGCAUGGAAUAAUUCUCCUUCAGAGCCCCCAGAAAGAACCAAACCUGUGGACACCUUGAUUUUUAGCCCCUAGAACUAGGAGUAUGACAACUGGGACUUGUCUUAUCAUUUAUCCACAGUACGUGGGAAAAUGGCCGGCACAUGGGACUUCAAUAAAUAUGUGCUCAAUGGUGAACCACCUAGUGCUUUAUAUUUUACAAAUGUCUGCAGCAGUUUUUUGUCAUCUUUAUGGAAAACAAGGCACGUCUUAAAGUCGUUCAAGUCCUUCACUUUUUCACACUGAGGUCUGUCUUCAUAUCCACUUAUCUUUCAAGUCUAUGAAACCCCUUAUAAAAACUUUCCUUUGAAAUAUUUUAAAA
rnacentral:lncRNA from 1 species